GAUGAACGCUGGCGGCGUGCCUAAUACAUGCAAGUCGAGCGAACGGACGAGAAGCUUGCUUCUCUGAUGUUAGCGGCGGACGGGUGAGUAACACGUGGAUAACCUACCUAUAAGACUGGGAUAACUUCGGGAAACCGGAGCUAAUACCGGAUAAUAUUUUGAACCGCAUGGUUCAAAAGUGAAAGACGGUCUUGCUGUCACUUAUAGAUGGAUCCGCGCUGCAUUAGCUAGUUGGUAAGGUAACGGCUUACCAAGGCAACGAUGCAUAGCCGACCUGAGAGGGUGAUCGGCCACACUGGAGCUGAGACACGGUCCAGACUCCUACGGGAGGCAGCAGUAGGGAAUCUUCCGCAAUGGGCGAAAGCCUGACGGAGCAACGCCGCGUGAGUGAUGAAGGUCUUCGGAUCGUAAAACUCUGUUAUUAGGGAAGAACAUAUGUGUAGGUAACUGUGCACAUCUUGACGGUACCUAAUCAGAAAGCCACGGCUAACUACGUG
rnacentral:rRNA from 1 species